AUUGUACUUUCUCCUCUUGGAAUUUCAAUGUAUGAUUGUACCGGUCGUUCGCUUCAUAUACAUGAGAUGAGAGAGUGAAAGAGAGAGAGAGAGACAAUCAAUGGCGUUAAGAAAACUCCCAACUCAUUUCUUCCCUUCCCUCCAACACCAACUCCGACCCUUCUCUUCACUCAACCUCCCGACCUUAGAGCCAUCAAACGAUGCCGAACUAGUAUCCAAAAUGCUCCUCCACCACCACAACCCAUUCCACGCCAUGGAGUCCUCACUCCAACUCCAUGGCAUCACACUCACUCCUCAUCUCCUCCACCAAACUCUCCUCCGCCUCAAACACUCUACCAAAAUCGCCCUCGCUCUUUUCAACUAUUCCAAAUCUCUCCCUUCCCCUCCUCUCACCUCCACUUCCUUUCACAUCCUCAUUGACCUCUUAGCCAAAGUUCGCCAAUUCGACCUCGCUUGGCAACUCAUUGUCGAAAUGGACCAACUUUCACUCUCUCCCACACCCACCACUUUCUUUAUAUUGAUCCGUAGGCUCAUCUCUGCUGGACUUACUCGCCAAGCUAUUCGAGCUUUUGAUGAUAUUCAAGGUUAUACUCAGACUAAGACUAAUAGUGAUGAUUUUUGUUUUUUGUUGGAUACCCUUUGUAAGUAUGGCUAUGUUAAGGUUGCAACCGAGGUUUUUAACAAAAAGAGAGAUGGGCUUUUGCCGGAUGCGAAAAUGUUUACCGUUUUGAUAUAUGGGUGGUGUAAGAUUGGUAGGAUUGAUAUGGGGGAGAGGUUUUUGAAUGACAUGAUAGGGAGAGGGAUUGAGCCAAAUGUGGUUACGUAUAAUGUGUUGUUGAAUGGGAUAUGUAGGCGGGCGAGUUUGCAUCCGGAAGGGAGGUUUGAGAGAACGAUAAGGAAUGCAGAGAAGGUGUUCGAUGAAAUGAGGGAGAGAGGGAUUGAGCCGGAUGUGACUAGUUUUUCAAUCGUGCUUCAUGUGUAUAGUCGGGCACAUAAGCCCGAGUUGUCGCUUGAUAAGUUGAGGUUGAUGAAAGAGAAGGGGAUUUGUCCGAGUGUGGCAACGUAUACUUCAGUUGUUAAGUGUCUGUGUUCGUGUGGGAGCAUUGAGGACGCAGAGGAGUUACUCAGUGAGAUGGUGAGGAAUGGGGUUACUCCAUGUGCAGCAACUUAUAAUUGUUUUUUUAAGGAGUAUAGGGGGAGAAAGGAUGCUGAUAGUGCUUUAAAGUUGUAUAAAAAGAUGAAGGAGGAGGGUUUGUUUGUGCCUAGCAUGCACACAUAUAACAUAUUGGUGGGGAUAUUUUUGAAGUUAAAUCGUUUUGGGAUUGUGAAGGAGAUAUGGGAUGAUAUGAAAGAGAGUGGAGUGGGACCUGAUUUGGAUUCGUAUACAAUGUUGAUUCAUGGUUUAUGCGAGAAACAGAAGUGGAGAGAGGCUUGCCAGUUUUUUGUGGAGAUGAUAGAGAAGGGGUUUCUUCCUCAGAAGAUUACUUUUGAGACGCUUUACAAGGGCCUAAUACAAUCUGAUAUGUUGAGAACGUGGAGAAGAUUAAAGAAGAAACUUGAUGAAGAGUCUAUAACAUUUGGUUCAGAGUUUCAAAAUUAUCAUUUGAAGCCAUAUAGGAGAUGAUACACCAUCAAUCUGCAGAUGUAAUGUGUUCUUCAUUAGAAAGUUCUCAUCAAUUUCACUUUUACUGGUGAGUGGAAUGGAAGCUGGAAAUGGAAGAUUUUCAUAUUUCUGUUGCCUACAAAUAGGUUUCAUACGUGCAGAGCUCAAGGCUUUUAUAAUAGAUGGAGGAUGAUGCUUACUUGGCCAAAACUUCAGCUUUUUAAUCCACUGUAUCAAAAAUUGGGUGGCCUUGCCCUUGGAUCGUGCUGUUGUCCGAGGAUUGGACCCCAAAGAAAGAGAUCCUAAUAGUAGUGGAAUCAUAACCACAUAGGUUGUGCAGGGUGACAAUCUAGGUAGAGAUUGCAGAUCUACUAAAAGAAUUCUUUUAGUACGUUCUUAUUUCAGUUUAUUCACUUGCAGAAAAGAUUGCAACUCAUCUAAUGAUAAGGAUCGUUUCAAUUGAAAUAGAUAAGACGAUAUGUGACAGGACAUCGGCGUUGGUAUCAGAUCAUAACAUAAACAAGUUUCAAGUAGAAGUCCUUGCAUGGCCAACUUAUCAUGACUGACUUACACCAUCAAGAGUACUUGAUUUUAUUGAAAAGUACAGGAGGAGCGGGGGAGAGCUAAAUGAUAUGCUGAGAGAGAAGUCAUUACGGCACCUUGGUUCAGCAACUGAAAGGCCUUAGAUGAAGUUUAAUAACAAAAGAAUGUUCAUGUAAGCAACUGUGAAUACUAUAGAUUUAGUAAAUGUAUUUUUGUUUUUUUAAAAAUAGGCCUAUAGGUUUGGCAGUGGAUUUUGGUUUAUAGUUUUAACUUCACUAUACAUUUAUGUACUUCCAUGUGUCAUCAUUGGAUAUUUAUUUAGAAUCA